GUGGGGAGCAAACAGGAUUAGAUACCCUGGUAGUCCACGCCGUAAACGAUGAGUGCUAGGUGUUGGAGGCUUUCCGCCCUUCAGWGCUGAAGWUAACGCAUUAAGCACUCCGCCUGGGGAGUAGGCCGCAAGGSUAAAACUAAAAGCAAUUAACGGGGACCCGCCCAAGCGCCGGACCAUGUGGUUUAAUUUGAAGAAACGCAAAGACCCUUCCCAACUCUUACAAUAACCCGGAACACCACAGACAUAGACCUUCCCCUUCGGGGGCAGGGGUGACAGGUGGUGCAUGGUGGUCGUCAGCUCGUGUCGUGAGAUGUUGGGUUAAGUCCCGCAACGACGCCACCCSUWUUCUUAGUUGCCACAUUAAGUUGGGCACUCUAAGGAGAUGCC
rnacentral:rRNA from 1 species